rnacentral:rRNA from 1 species
GACGAACGCUGGCGGCGUGCUUAACACAUGCAAGUCGAACGGUGAAGCGCCUUCCUUUUUGGUGGGUGUGGAUGAGUGGCGAACGGGUGAGUAACACGUGAGUAACCUGCCCCCUUCUUCUGGAUAACCGCAUGAAAGUGUGGCUAAUACGGGAUAUUCUGGGUCUGUCGCAUGAUGGGUCUGGGAAAGAUAUUGUUUCGGUGGGGGAUGGGCUCGCGGCCUAUCAGCUUGUUGGUGGGGUGAUGGCCUACCAAGGCGGUGACGGGUAGCCGGCCUGAGAGGGUGGACGGUCACACUGGGACUGAGACACGGCCCAAACUCCUACGGGAGGCAGCAGUGGGGAAUAUUGCACAAUGGGCGCAAGCCUGAUGCAGCGACGCCGCGUGAGGGAUGGAGGCCUUCGGGUUGUGAACCUCUUUCGCCAGUGAAGCAGGCCUGCCUCGUUUGUGGGUGGGUUGACGGUAGCUGGAUAAGAAGCGCCGGCUAACUACGUG